rnacentral:rRNA from 1 species
AGUGAACGCUGGCGGUGGGCCUAACACAUGCAAGUCGAACGGCAGCACAGUAAGAGCUUGCUCUUACGGGUGGCGAGUGGCGGACGGGUGAGGAAUACAUCGGAAUCUACUUUUUCGUGGGGGAUAACGUAGGGAAACUUACGCUAAUACCGCAUACGACCUACGGGUGAAAGCAGGGGAUCUUCGGACCUUGCGCGAUUGAAUGAGCCGAUGUCGGAUUAGCUAGUUGGCGGGGUAAAGGCCCACCAAGGCGACGAUCCGUAGCUGGUCUGAGAGGAUGAUCAGCCACACUGGAACUGAGACACGGUCCAGACUCCUACGGGAGGCAGCAGUGGGGAAUAUUGGACAAUGGGCGCAAGCCUGAUCCAGCCAUACCGCGUGGGUGAAGAAGGCCUUCGGGUUGUAAAGCCCUUUUGUAGGGAAAGAAAAGCAGCAGGUUAAUACCCCGCUGUUCUGACGGUACCCAAAGAAUAAGCACCGGCUAACUUCGUG